rnacentral:lncRNA from 1 species
GUCUGUCUAGAAUUCCAAAGGCAAAUGACUCAAGGUAACAGGAAAAAAGAAAAUCCAGUAUCAGGAUAAUCAGAACACCACAGGUUUACAGUUUGUAGAAACUAGAACACGAGCAGCUCUCACUUAAGGUCUGUGAUGGAACUCCAGUGGAGAAAUGGCUGGUACUUUUUCCACCCCUUAAUCAGAUUUUUUUUUAAUUAAAGUAUGUAACCGGUUAUUUUUACUUGAAGUAUUUUGGGGUGGUCUUAACAGGGAAGAGGGUGGGGGAGAAAAUGUUUGUUUCUAAGACUUUCCACAGAUGCUAUAGUACUAUUGACAAACUGAGUUAGAGAAGGAUUGUACUGCUAUGCUGUUGGCACCAAACACCUUCAGGGAUUGGAGCUGCUUUUUUCCUUGGAGUAUUCCCAGUGAAGCUGAAAUAUACAGCACAGUGCAGCUUUGGUUCAUAUUCAGUCAUCUCAGGAGAACUUCAGAAGAGCUUGACUAGGCCAAAUAUUGAAGUUAAGUUUUCAAAUAAUGGAACUUUUUAAGAUGCCUUUUAAAGGGGAGGGGCAAGUUUUGGCAAUUAGUUGGCAGUGGCCUGUUUUGGUUGGGGUUGGGUGGGUUGGGUUUAGGUAAUUGUUUAGUUUAUGAUUUCAGAUAACUCAUGCCAGAGAACUUAAAUACUUAGGAUGGAAAAACUAAAGAAAUCUCACCUCCCAAGUUGGAGCUUCAGAGCAAAGGAAGUGGCUUAAUGAUCCUGAAGGGAUUUCUUCUGAUGGUAGCUUUUAUAUUAUCAAACUUUUUUCAGAUAACAUCUUCUGAGUCAUACCCAGCCUGGCAAUAUGAUGGCCUAGAUGGAGAGGGGAACAGCUCCUUGACAGGUUUCUCUAUCAGAAGAGUUGCUUCAUAUCAUCUGGGAGCAGAAAACAGCAGGCAGCUGUUCACAGAUAAGUUUAACUUGCAUCUGCAGUAUUGCAUGUUAGGGAUAAGUGCUAUGUUUAAUAAGAGCUGUGGAGGUCCUAGGUCCCUUACUCAAGGGAUCUCAGGAUUUUGAGGAAUUUUCCCAUCCAGCCUUUUAAAAUGAGACAGGCCUUAUGCCUGUGGGCUUCCAUGAUGGGCUAACUCACUUCACUCGAGGCAAGUAAUUCCUUAAAGCCUCUUGAGAUUAAUACCUUAAUAAUCAAGGAUAAUGUUGAUAAAAUAAAAAUUUGUUUAGCAUUGAUUCUUGAAAACCC